UGCAUGUGCUUGUUUGUGUGUCUCAACUAAGCACUUUUCAAGACAGCCUCAGGCUGCUGGGUAACUGGUGUUGAGUUGUGCGUGAUGCAGUUUUAACCCCACUCCACCCGGGUACUUGUCUCUGUAUUUCCAGCUCGACGUGACAGAAGAAGACUGCUUUAGCCUGUUUCCCCUGGAAACCCUUGUGUACCUGACUCCUGACUCUGAACACCCCCUUGAAGACAUUGAUCUGAGCACAGUUUACAUUAUUGGUGGACUUGUAGAUGAGAGCAUUCAGAAGGUAAGUCGACAUUUUAGCCUCACCCCACCCCCUUUCUUUCUUUCUUCCUUUCUUUCUUUCUUUCCUUCUCUCUUUCUUUCUUUCUUCCUUUCUUUCUUUCCUUCUUUCUCUCUCUCUCUCUUUCCUUCUUUCUUUCUUUCUUCCUUUCUUUCUUUUGGUUUUCUAAACCAGUUUUUUUUUAAGGUUUAUUUUUAUUUUAUGUAUAUGAGUACACUGUAGCUGUCUUUUUUUUUUUUUUUUAAUGAGUACACUGCAGCUGUCUUCAGACACACCAGAAGAGAGCAUCAGAUC
rnacentral:lncRNA from 1 species